CUCCAGAUGUUGCUGAACUACAACUCCCAUGAUUCUCCGCCUAUUUAAUUCAUAGAAUCAUGGGAGUUGUAGUUCAGCAACAUCUGGAG
rnacentral:miRNA from 1 species